UGGGGAAUAUUGGACAAUGGGCGAAAGCCUGAUCCAGCCAUGCCGCGUGUGUGAAGAAGGUCUUCGGAUUGUAAAGCACUUUAAGUUGGGAGGAAGGGCAUUAACCUAAUACGUUAGUGUUUUGACGUUACCGCCAGAAUAAGCACCGGCUAACUCUGUGCCAGCAGCCGCGGUAAUACAGAGGGUGCAAGCGUUAAUCGGAAUUACUGGGCGUAAAGCGCGCGUAGGUGGUUUGUUAAGUUGGAUGUGAAAUCCCCGGGCUCAACCUGGGAACUGCAUUCAAAACUGACUGACUAGAGUAUGGUAGAGGGUGGUGGAAUUUCCUGUGUAGCGGUGAAAUGCGUAGAUAUAGGAAGGAACACCAGUGGCGAAGGCGACCACCUGGACUAAUACUGACACUGAGGUGCGAAAGCGUGGGGAGCAAACA
rnacentral:rRNA from 1 species